rnacentral:rRNA from 1 species
GCCAUGCCGCGUGCAGGAUGAAUGCCCUAUGGGUUGUAAACUGCUUUUAUACAGGAAGAAACCUUUGUACGUGUACAAAGCUGACGGUACUGUAAGAAUAAGGAUCGGCUAACUCCGUGCCAGCAGCCGCGGUAAUACGGAGGAUCCAAGCGUUAUCCGGAAUUAUUGGGUUUAAAGGGUCCGUAGGUGGUUUAUUAAGUCAGAGGUGAAAUACUGCAGCUUAACUGUAGAACUGCCUUUGAAACUGAUAGACUUGAGUUAUUGUGAAGUAGUUAGAAUGUGUAGUGUAGCGGUGAAAUGCAUAGAUAUUACACAGAAUACCGAUUGCGAAGGCAGAUUACUAACAAUAUACUGACACUGAGGGACGAAAGCGUGGGUAGCGAACAGGAUUAGAUACCCUGGUAGUCCACGCCGUAAACGAUGGUCACUAGCUGUUUGAUGCACAUUGGUGUGUUGAGUGGCUAAGCGAAAGUGAUAAGUGACCCACCUGGGGAGUACGCUCGCAAGAGUGAAACUCAAAGGAAUUGACGGGGGCCCGCACAAGCGGUGGAGCAUGUGGUUUAAUUCGAUGAUACGCGAGGAACCUUACCAGGGCUUAAAUGUAAGUUGCAUAGGUCAGAAAUGAUCUUUUCUUCGGACCACUUACAAGGUGCUGCAUGGUUGUCGUCAGCUCGUGCCGUGAGGUGUCAGGUUAAGUCCUAUAACGAGCGCAACCCCUAUCGUUAGUUGCCAGCGGGUCAUGCCGGGAACUCUAAUGAGACUGCCGGUGCAAACCGAGAGGAAGGUGGGGAUGACGUCAAAUCAUCACGGCCCUUACGUCCUGGGCCACACACGUGCUACAAUGGCCGGUACAGAGAGCAGCCACUACGCGAGUAGGAGCGAAUCUUCAAAACCGGUCUCAGUUCGGAUCGCAGUCUGCAACUCGACUGCGUGAAGCUGGAAUCGCUAGUAAUCGGAUAUCAGCCAUGAUCCGGUGAAUACGUUCCCGGGCCUUGUACACACCGCCCGUCAAGCCAUGGAAGCUGGGAGUACCUGAAGUCGGUGACCGCAAGGAGCUGCCUAGGGUAAAACUAGUAACUGGGGCUAAGUCGUAACAAGGUAGCCGUACCGGAAGGUGCGGCUGGAACACCUCCUUUCU